rnacentral:rRNA from 1 species
CCUGGUAGCGACUGCGGAUGACAUUA